rnacentral:rRNA from 1 species
CCUACGGGAGGCAGCAGUGGGGAAUCUUGCGCAAUGGGCGGAAGCCUGACGCAGCGACGCCGCGUGCGGGAAGGAGGCCUUCGGGUCGUAAACCGCUUUCAGCAGGGACGAGGCCGCGAGGUGACGGUACCUGCAGAAGAAGCCCCGGCUAACUACGUGCCAGCAGCCGCGGUAAUACGUAGGGGGCAAGCGUUAUCCGGAUUCAUUGGGCGUAAAGCGCGCGUAGGCGGCCUGUUAGGUCGGGAGUCAAAUCCGGGGGCUCAACCCCCGCCCGCUCCCGAUACCGGCGGGCUUGAGUCUGGCAGGGGAAGGCGGAAUUCCAAGUGUAGCGGUGGAAUGCGCAGAUAUUUGGAAGAACACCGGUGGCGAAGGCGGCCUUCUGGGCCACGACUGACGCUGAGGCGCGAAAGC